UACGUAGGGACCAAGCGUUGUUCGGAUUUACUGGGCGUAAAGGGCGCGUAGGCGGCGUGACAAGUCACUUGUGAAAUCUCCGGGCUUAACUCGGAACGGUCAAGUGAUACUGUUGUGCUAGAGUACAGAAGGGGCAAUCGGAAUUCUUGGUGUAGCGGUGAAAUGCGUAGAUAUCAAGAGGAGCACCAGAGGCGAAGGCGGAUUGCUGGGCUGAUACUGACGCUGAGGCGCGAAAGCUAGGGUAGCAAACGGG
rnacentral:rRNA from 1 species